GGGUGUGAACCCUGGGUACGGCGCGACAGUGGUGGCGUUACUUUACUCGGCCUUAACGGUGCUCCGCGAACAGGACAAGAUGCCACAGCAUGGUGUCUUGACCACAGGAGUGGCCUUCCGCAACACGAACCUGAUUAAAAAUCUCAACGAAUCAAAGGAACUCAAGUUUGAAAUACUCGAGGGCAAGUGAAAAUUUUCGCCGUCAACAGUAUUGUAUUUAACGUAUUUCAAAAAAAAAAA
rnacentral:lncRNA from 1 species